GACGAACGCUGGCGGCGUGCCUAAUACAUGCAAGUUGAGCGCUGAAGGUUGGUACUUGUACCGACUGGAUGAGCAGCGAACGGGUGAGUAACGCGUGGGGAAUCUGCCUUUGAGCGGGGGACAACAUUUGGAAACGAAUGCUAAUACCGCAUAAAAACUUUAAACACAAGUUUUAAGUUUGAAAGAUGCAAUUGCAUCACUCAAAGAUGAUCCCGCGUUGUAUUAGCUAGUUGGUGAGGUAAAGGCUCACCAAGGCGAUGAUACAUAGCCGACCUGAGAGGGUGAUCGGCCACAUUGGGACUGAGACACGGCCCAAACUCCUACGGGAGGCAGCAGUAGGGAAUCUUCGGCAAUGGACGAAAGUCUGACCGAGCAACGCCGCGUGAGUGAAGAAGGUUUUCGGAUCGUAAAACUCUGUUGGUAGAGAAGAACGUUGGUGAGAGUGGAAAGCUCAUCGAGUGACGGUAACUACCCAGAAAGGGACGGCUAACUACGUG
rnacentral:rRNA from 1 species